rnacentral:lncRNA from 1 species
ACUUAUUGAAUAAAAAGGGUACUUUAGUUAGAUAUGAAAUGCUUGAUUCAAAAAGUUAUUAACUGGGAGAGCUGGGCAACAACCAAAGCUGCUGCCAAUUAACAUAUAAUCAUCCAUUGGAGGUGCUUUAAAUAAGCGAAUAUCAGGAAAGAGGGAAAAAGAGAGAAGAAUUUAAGCAGCUGAAACUAUACAAGAAUGAAAUAGGAGUAGCAGAUCAGUAGAUAAUAAGAAAAUUUUAUUAUAUUUCAUUUCAAGCAUAUUCGAACACGGUACUGUUUAAUUACAAUCUCAAGUCUCUGAGUGCUUCAUCAAACAAUACCUUAUAUCAGCAACAGCAUUCCCUAUUAACUAGUCAUUAUUUAUUUUAAUUAUCAAACAAACACUUCUAAUAAUAAGUGGUAAAGAUACAAAUCCUAAAAGCUCAAGAGAAAAUAGAUAUUGACGCAAAAAGAAAAAACGGAGGAAGACCACAAUUGGAAACGAAACGAAGAAGGGAAACAUGCAUGAUGAUAAUGAUGACGAUGAUGACAAUUUUACAGCUAUGGAAGUAAAAAAAAUAUAUAAAUAAAUGUAGUAGUCGGACCAGGAACUCUUGAUUCCCCUUGCAUGGAUGCCUCCAUGUCAUUAUCCAUGGCUUGUAAGGAGAAGUUGCUUAUAUUUGAAUGGCCACUCAAGGAAGAAAUGAAAUUCCUUCCAUGGUUGGAGCAAUGAAAUGAAGCUGAAAGCUAUUACCAUGGUCAUGGUGAGAGAAGAACUAAAAUCCAAGAAAUUAGUCUAAUUGAGAGAGAAAGAAAGAUGAAAGAGAAGUAUAUAGUAGAAGAGGUAGGGAGAAAAGCUUUUAUCUUGAGAGACCCCAAGCACUCACUGAUCUUAAAUUCCCGCAUGCACGUUUCUCUUUUAAUAUAUACAGUGUCGGCACGUUUCCACAGGGGAAAAAGGAAGGCAAAGAAAGAGACAGACAGUGAAAUGAAGUGUUUCUUUUUUUUCUUUCGUAAGACAAAUUAAAGAGCAUGGUGCCCUAAAGCUAGC